GAACGUCAAUUUCCAUUGGGAAUUUCCUGGUUAUUUUCACUCACCUAAAUCCUUUCGUUUACGUAUCUCUACCUCAAUCUAUGUACGUUGUUACAAUAUACAGCAUGGCUUUAUCAACGAUAUAAAUACGACGAAAGCGUAAUAAUUCGAAAUGAACGGUGGCUUCGUGAAACAUCGUACAGUUCCGACGAAAGAACUUGGAAUACGCAAUCGUCGCUUGACGGCACGACGGCUCCCUCAAACGUAAGAGCUGAAUUCGCAUCUUGCAAAACUCUGCUCCUCGUCUCUGGCACGCACGAGGCGCCGACGAGAAACGUCUGAGAUGAUGAUGAUGAUGAUGAUGAAUAAGAAGAAGAAGAGGAGGAAGAAGAAGAAGAAGAAGAAGAAGAAGCAGAAAGUAAACCGACGUGUCUGGGACACAGCGCACUUACAUGCGGUGAGUUACAACACGCUCGGCCCGUGCUUUAUAAUAGCGACCAACCGUCGCUAUACCGACUUCCCGACUGCCUUGGCUCGUCUUCGGUAAAAAUAGACCAUCGAAAAGCGACACCUCAGGAAUCGGUGGCCCGUUGUGCCGUCACGACAGAUCUCGCGUUCCUCUGUCUCUUUUUCUCUUUCUCUUUCUUCCUCUUUCUAACUUUCUACGUUCGAUGUUCUUCGCUGACUUGGCCCGAACAACUCUCUCUAAGAUAGUUUACACUCUGGGGUAGUUGCCCUUGAUUCACCUCAGUGAAACAAUUCUUUGUAGCCAUGAAAAUGAAAUACCGUUUCUUUGAAAUAAAAGGAUACCGAUGAAGUGUGAAUUCAAAAGGAAAGAAAGGAAAGAAUGGAAAUUAAAGGAGAUUAUGAUUUUCUUUUGAAAAUGUAGUGUUAAAAAGUAACUAAAUGAAAUACGUGUUGUGUAUCUAUAUUCUGUAAAUACAUUCGACAUAGUUUGAAAUAUCAAUGAUAAAAUUUACAAAUGAUUUAUAUACAAAAAAUAAUAUCUGAUAGUUAUAUCGAAUGUAUUUCUAUUUUUAGAUUUUUGUUUUUCCUGAAGGUGACAAAGUUAUUGAAAUUAUCAUCUAAAUAAUACACUUAUUCCCAGUCAUCGGUAUUAAUAUCUGUAACAAUAUCUGUAUUUUCUGUAGGUAUGUCGUCUUCUUCAGAUACUUUCUUAUUUGUUGUUUUUAUUUUCUUUUUUGAUUUUUUAUUAGAUCUCCUUGCAGAUGUAUUCACUGCUUUCUCUACUUCUGUUCCUUUUAUUUGUAACUCAAAGUCACUUUCUUCUUCGCUACCUAUAUCUUCUUCAUUUGACUUCUUCCUUUUUGAUUUCCUUAAACUUGGUAAAUUAUAUUCACUAAUUUCAUCAUUUUUCGUUAAAUGUUUUAAUUUCUGAGCUUGAUGAAUCUUAAUCCAGGAAUUAUAAAAUUUCGCUAAAGCUGUACCCUGAAUUUUCAUUCUAUUUUCCCAAUUUUCAAUUUCUGUCAUAUUUUUCAAAUUGAAUAUUUCCUUGGCUCUUUCAUUUCCUAUAUAUUUUGAAUUUUCUUCUAUUUUCUCUAGCAAUUGCUUUAAUUUCUUGCAAUAAUUUGCGACAUGACACUUUUUCAAAAAUACUUUCAACUGUAAUUAAAAUAUUUAUAUAUUGGAUAACAAAUUAUGUAUGUAUGUGUAUUGAAAAUAAUAGAAUAAAAUGCUAUACUUACUUGUAUUAUGCAAGGAAAAUAUAAAUCGGGAAAACAUACUAAGUGGCUAUCGUUUGCUGCAUUUUCUAAUAUUAAACGAUAGAUAGCAUCAAUUACACUAUCUUUAAAACCAUUCUCUUGUAACUGUGAUUUAGACAUUCUUAAUAUGCAAAUUAAAGAUAUGGGUUUCAUUGAUACAGCUUUAUGCUUUUUAUUAAAAUCAUAAGACGAUAAUAUCUGAAAUCAAUAUUAUAAUAUAUUUCUUGAAAUAUUUAAAAACGUAGAUAUUUAUUUAUAUAUAUUAAAUAAUUACUAUACCUCCAAUAGAAAUGGUAAAAUAGGUAUGAAAGUUUUUGUUUCCUUAGAAAUGUUAGUUAACAUUUGUAAACAGUGGAAACGUAAAGGAUAAUAUUGUUGAGUCGGUAUUACUUUAAUUGUUCCAAUAAUAAUCUGCAAGUAUACAAUUAAUAAUUACCAUCUAUUUAAUUAAAUAAUUUAUUUGUAAUAUGAUCAUAUACAUACUUGUACUAAAGGAUAUAAUAAAGAGUGCAAUAUUGAUUCCUUUUUUGAUAAUGUUAUUAACUUAGACCAGAAGAAUAAUGAAUUUAUAUACUGCCAAUUAUAUACUGCUUGAAAAUUUUCCUAUAAAAUAAAAUAAUGUUAUUAGGUUAAAUAAUUAAUAAUAAUAAUUAUAUAAUUACCUUUUUCUUCAAAGUUACUGCAUUCCUUAAAUGAAUAGCAAGCUGUCUGAUAUAUAAAAAGGCAUGAUUGUAAGAAAUAUCAGAAUCUAGUAGAUAAAUCUCUGUUAAAGAAUGCCUCAUAAAAUUUAUUCCUGGCAAAGUAUUUGGUGAUACAAAUUUGGAAUUUUCUACAUACUUGACGUACAUCGACUAAAAGAUAUAAUUAGAAUUUAAUUAUUUAUGACAUAGUUAUUUACAUUGUAACAUAAACCAGAAAAUAUAACUUUACCUUUAAUAAUGUAUCAAGUAAAGAUUCUUUAUGACUAGUUGCAAUACGUAAUAUACAUAAAAACGCAACAACUCUGACAGUUUCUUCACCAGUUGACCAAAAUUUUAAUAAGACCUUCAAUAAUGGUUUCUUUAAUGAGGAGAAUGAUUGAGUAUAUGGUAACAUUUCAUGUAAAUGUUUUAAAAGUAUUGUUUGAAUGUUAGCUGAUGAAACAUUACGUAAAAUCUAUCAAAAAUAUUGUUAUUUUAAUAUAAACAUUGCUACACAAUUAUUUAUGUUAUAAAUAUUAGAACGAUACCAACCGUAAGUAAAUCAGUUAAAUAUAAUUUUAAUGAAUUUUUAACUUUGAUAAAUCUUUUGCAUUUAUGUGCUGCAAAAUGUGUAUUAGUAUCCAAUUUUAAAAAAUUUCUGAAUGCAUUAGGUAAAUGCAAUAUACAUAAUUGAAUGACUCCAUUAAAUACUGAAAUUGUAAUUGUUAUUACAUUUACUAAUUAUAAAUACAUUAAUUAGAUAUAUCACUUGAUAAAAUUUACUUGCGCUUCCUUCUACUUUAAAUUUUAUAAAAUUUUCUUCUUGUGUUUCUGAUAUGGUUUCCAACGCAGCAUGGAAAGCUUCGACCGCAAUUUUAAUAGACUUGGAUGUUCUAACCAAAUAAAAUUGUAAAUAAUUAUAAAUUUAUAAUAUAAUAAUAAUAUAUAGUUAUUUUAAUAAUUAAAAAUAUAUAAAAACAUUACUUGUCAUUUUGAAUAUCAUUCUGCCAAACUUUUAAUAAUUGUAGGGUAACUUUUAUUUGGCCACCAGAUGAUAUAUCAUUAAUAUCUUCAGGUUCAAAAUCACUUUCAUCGCUAGCAACCUAUGAUUUUAUAAUGAAUUAAAUAUAAAAGUAUAUUAUUAGAACAUAUUGAUAUUUUGUAUUGUUAUUUUAAAUAUAUAUAGUAUUUCUAUACCUCUAAUUUAUCAUUAGGUUUAUGAUAUAAUUCAGAUUCAUCGGCAUCAAAUUCAUUAUAACUAUCGUAAUCUGUAUCGGAUAAAUUGAAAUCUAAUAGAUUUUUAUCAUUUUCUUUUAAAUAAGAAUAAAAUUCUAGAUCCGUUUCUUUUAAUUUCAUCAAUGACUUCUUGUGUUCUUCUGGAUCCAUAUCGCUAUCGCUGCUUUCAAUAUCAUCGAUUUUUUGUAUCUUUUUAUUGCCUGAUUAUUAAAAAUAUGUAAUUUAGAACCGUAUAUGUAUACAUAUAGAAUAGGAUUUACAUAUGUAAAAUUAUAUAUAAAUACCUGUUUUUUCAUUCUGCCAAUGUUUAUCCUCCUUACUAUCAUCUUCUUCAAAAUCUUGUUUAAAAUAUUUAUCCUUAGAAACUUUACUCUCAGAUUUUUUUCUUUUUUUAACAGAUAUAUUUGAAUGUCUUAUUCCUUUCUUUGUCU